GGGUUGUAAAGCUCUUUCGUCGGGGAAGAAAAUGACUGUACCCGAAUAAGAAGGUCCGGCUAACUUCGUGCCAGCAGCCGCGGUAAUACGAAGGGACCUAGCGUAGUUCGGAAUUACUGGGCUUAAAGAGUUCGUAGGUGGUUGAAAAAGUUGGUGGUGAAAUCCCAGAGCUUAACUCUGGAACUGCCAUCAAAACUUUUCAGCUAGAGUUUGAUAGAGGAAAGCAGAAUUUCUAGUGUAGAGGUGAAAUUCGUAGAUAUUAGAAAGAAUACCAAUUGCGAAGGCAGCUUUCUGGAUCAUUACUGACACUGAGGAACGAAAGCAUGGGUAGCGAAGAGGAUUAGAUACCCUCGUAGUCCAUGCCGUAAACGAUGUGUGUUAGACGUUGGAAAUUUAUUUUCAGUGUCGCAGCGAAAGCGAUAAACACACCGCCUGGGGAGUACGACCGCAAGGUUAAAACUCAAAUGAAUUGACGGGGACCCGCACAAGUAGUGGAGCAUGUGGUUUAAUUCGAAGAUACGCGCAGAACCUUACCAACACUUGACAUGUUCGUCGCGACUUUAAGAGAUUAAAGUUUUCGGUUCGGCCGGACGAAACACAGGUGCUGCAUGGCUGUCGUCAGCUCGUGUCGUGAGAUGUUGGGUUAAGUCCCGCAACGAGCGCAACCCUCACUUUUAGUUGCCAUCAUUAAGUUGGGCACUCUGAAAGAACUGCCAGUGAUAAGCUGGAGGAAGGUGGGGAUGACGUCAAGUCCUCAUGGCCCUUACGUGUUGGGCUACACACGUGCUACAAUGGUAUCUACAACAGGAAGCAAAACAGCGAUGUUAAGCAAAUCCUUAAAAGAUACCUCAGUUCGGAUUGCACUCUGCAACUCGAGUGCAUGAAGCUGGAAUUACUAGUAAUCGUGGAUCAGCGUGC
rnacentral:rRNA from 1 species